UCUCUCAUUGCGUUUUUUGCCUUUGAUUCCACGCUAACUGUGCUACUGGGUAGAAGUGGGCCCCACGUGAUGUAUUCACGACAUCCGACCCGUCCAUCAGAUGCGACGCCUAGUGUUUUCUCGCAGCCGAAAAAUCAGCUCGAUCCGAAAGUCAAAUGGGCCACAUCACAUGGGACAAGCUGAGAGGGGAUAUCCACCCUUGAUUGGAAGGCGAUCGGGCUUUUCACCUUCUCUGGAUGAAAGGUCAGGACAAGAAUCGGGCUGUUCUGCAGCUCAGGUGGGCCCUGGUGAGAAUCAAGGGUCGAGAGGCGUUCCCUCCCACGUUGUUCCCUGUGAUGGGAUCCAUCUUAUAGACGGGGUUGGAUGUGA